rnacentral:rRNA from 1 species
GUUGGGUAGGGGAGCGUUCUGUAAGCCUGUGAAGGUGUGUCGUGAGGCAUGCUGGAGGUAUCAGAAGUGCGAAUGCUGACAUAAGUAACGAUAAAGCGGGUGAAAAGCCCGCUCGCCGGAAGACCAAGGGUUCCUGUCCAACGUUAAUCGGGGCAGGGUGAGUCGACCCCUAAGGCGAGGCCGAAAGGCGUAGUCGAUGGGAAACGGGUUAAUAUUCCCGUACUUGGUGUUACUGCGAAGGGGGGACGGAGAAGGCUAUGUUGGCCGGGCGACGGUUGUCCCGGUUUAAGCGUGUAGGUGUGUGUUCCAGGUAAAUCCGGUUCACUUUAACACUGAGGCGUGACGACGAGGCACUACGGUGCUGAAGCAACAAAUGCCCUGCUUCCAGGAAAAGCCUCUAAGCAUCAGGUAACAUCAAAUCGUACCCCAAACCGACACAGGUGGUCAGGUAGAGAAUACCAAGGCGCUUGAGAGAACUCGGGUGAAGGAACUAGGCAAAAUGGUGCCGUAACUUCGGGAGAAGGCACGCUGACACGUAGGUGAAGUGAUUUACUCAUGGAGCUGAAGUCAGUCGAAGAUACCAGCUGGCUGCAACUGUUUAUUAAAAACACAGCACUGUGCAAACACGAAAGUGGACGUAUACGGUGUGACGCCUGCCCGGUGCCGGAAGGUUAAUUGAUGGGGUCAGCGCAAGCGAAGCUCCUGAUCGAAGCCCCGGUAAACGGCGGCCGUAACUAUAACGGUCCUAAGGUAGCGAAAUUCCUUGUCGGGUAAGUUCCGACCUGCACGAAUGGCGUAAUGAUGGCCAGGCUGUCUCCACCCGAGACUCAGUGAAAUUGAACUCGCUGUGAAGAUGCAGUGUACCCGCGGCAAGACGGAAAGACCCCGUGAACCUUUACUAUAGCUUGACACUGAACAUUGAGCCUUGAUGUGUAGGAUAGGUGGGAGGCUUUGAAGUGUGGACGCCAGUCUGCAUGGAGCCGACCUUGAAAUACCACCCUUUAAUGUUUGAUGUUCUAACGUGGACCCGUGAUCCGGGUUGCGGACAGUGU